GUUGUACUUAACCUAGUGUUCAAGGGUAUGAAAUAUAAACUUUCGGUUUUUGUGCAUAUCUGUUUAGAGGAUGGUUAAUUUCAAUUUGAGGAAUCCAUGAACGAAAGUGAUGCCCCUCAUAGGAAAACAUCCCUGGUUUGAAUUCUUGCCAGAAGAUGACCCUUGAAAAAGUUUUCAGGCUUGUACCUCAGGUUUCCCCACUUCCUGUCAAAUGUUUUUCAUUCUAGAGAAAAUUUGAUGAACAGAGUAACAAGUGAAAAAAAAAAUAAUAAAGAAAAGUUGGAAAGUGGCUAUAAA